GCUCUUUAAAAAAGCUUAAUGAUGUAUGGAUAAGUGAGAGAUGAUAACUCGACAAAGAAAAUAAAGAUGAGAGAAGGUAGCUUGAUGAAGAAGGCAAUUGAAAAUGAGGAAGCGAGGGGAUAAGGGGGUUCUAAGGCUUAUAUUGGAGGUUUUUUUUUAAUAUGUGAACUGGUUCAAACCAGUCCACAUUAAUUUUACAAACCACAUCAUAUGUCAUGUGGCAUCCAUUAGCACAACAGUGAAUGAGAAGGUGUCUUGUGUUAUUAAAUUUGAUACGUGAAACUAACGUUAACAAUCUCAACAAUGAGUUAAAGAGAUUGAC
rnacentral:lncRNA from 1 species